UACGUAGGGUGCAAGCGUUAAUCGGAAUUACUGGGCGUAAAGCGUGCGCAGGCGGUUUUGUAAGUCUGUCGUGAAAUCCCCGGGCUCAACCUGGGAAUUGCGAUGGAGACUGCAAGGCUGGAGUCUGGCAGAGGGGGAUGGAAUUCCGCGUGUAGCAGUGAAAUGCGUAGAUAUGCGGAGGAACACCGAUGGCGAAGGCAAUCCCCUGGGCCUGCACUGACGCUCAUGCACGAAAGCGUGGGGAGCAAACGGG
rnacentral:rRNA from 1 species